AGGCUAGAAAAUUAUGAGCAGCAUUGCUAACUACAGCCUGAGAAUCUUCAGAACCCAAUUUGCUUUCCUCAACCUUCUCGUCAUCAUUCCUAGACUGACUGGGCUCAGAUUCAGAAACAUCUUCAGUGGUGAUCAAUUCUGCCAGGUCCCUCUGCUGAUCCAAAUCCAAAUCAUUAUGAACACCAUUGAUAGCUACAGCCUGAGAAUCUUCAUGUUCUUUUAUGUCAAUGGUCGAAUUCAAUUUGCUUUCCUCCUCAACCUUCUCCUCAUCAUUAUUUGACCGACUUAGCUCAGAUUCAGCAACAUGCACACUUGUGUCUUGCGAUUCCUGAGCUUCUGCCAGGUCCCUCUGCUGAUCCAAAUCCAAAUCAUUAUGAACACCAUUGAUGGCUACAGCCUGAGAAUCUUCAUGUUCUUUUAUGUCAAUGGUCGAAUUCAAUUUGCUUUCCUCCUCAACCAUCUCCUCAUCAUUAUUUGACCGAUUUAGCUCAGAUUCAGCAACAUGCACACUAGUGUCUUGCGAUUCCUGAGCUUCUGCCAGGUCCCUCUGCUGAUCCAAAUCCAAAUCAUUAUGAACACCAUUGAUAGCUACAGCCUGAGAAUCUUCAUGUUCUUCUAUGUCAAUGGUCGAAUUCAAUUUGCUUUCCUCCUCAACCAUCUCCUCAUCAUUAUUUGACCGAUUUAGCUCAGAUUCAGCAACAUGCACACUAGUGUCUUGCGAUUCCUGAGCUUCUGCCAGGUCCCUCUGCUGAUCCAAAUCCAAAUCAUUAUGAACACCAUUGAUAGCUACAGCCCGAGAAUCUUCAUGUUCUUUUAUGUCAAUGGUCGAAUUCAAUUUGCUUUCCUCCUCAACCCUCUCCUCAUCAUUAUUUGACCGAUUUAGCUCAGAUUCAGCAACAUGCACACUAUUGUCUUGCGAUUCCUGAGCUUCUGCCAGGUCCCUCUGCUGAUCCAAAUCCAAAUCAUUAUGAACACCAUUGAUAGCUACAGCCUGAGAAUCUUCAUGUUCUUUUAUGUCAAUGGUCGAAUUCAAUUUGCUUUCCUCCUCAACCAUCACCUCAUCAUUAUUUGACCGAUUUAGCUCAG
rnacentral:lncRNA from 1 species